UGUGUUAUUUGAAGGCGAGCUUCGAGAGAGCGUGAAUGAAGCAUGUGCAUGUUACUUUAAAAUUAACUAGAUUUGUGCCGAUUUCAUUGUGUUUUUCGUGUUGUUUUUAGCUCCAACCUUGAACAAACGCUCACUUUUAGCUUGGUUCGUGUGUGUUUUAUCAGUGAUUGAGCUAAACUCUGCAAAGUAGUGGACAUUACUGCCCGCUUUUGAGAGUUUCCCGCUAGUCUGCAUAAAACCGCAAGAUAGCAGUGCACCGCUCGUGCCCGCACAGGCAGAUUUGUGCCCGAGUCUGUGCACGCGCGGGAGGCCAGUCACGGUGGCAAGUUCUCCCUAUGGCCAGUCCGCCCCUGAAUAUUAUUGAAACCUUUAAAAAGCCAAACAUAUUUUAACAAUCCAUAGAUGAAAGAUCAGGUCUCAUUUAUAAAAGACACAAAAAUGCAGACUAAAUGUAUUGUGAAAUUAUAUAUAUAUAUAUAUAUAUAUAUAUAUAUAUAUAUAUAUAUAUAUAUAUAUAUAUAUAUAUAUAUAUAUAUAGUGCAAAAUAAGUUUAAAAUAAAUAUUUUAAUGUAUAUUUUAUCUUUCUUCAAACAGCCUGGAAACUGAACUGCUUCAUAAAACUUGUGCUUGAAAAGUGUCAUGGGACCCAUAUUAAGUUUCCAAAUUUGAUCUGCUGCACACAAGUAGCUUUGAAGAAGAAGGAUCCCAGCUUAAAGAAAAACAUGUCACAUCCAUAAUUGUUUGACAU
ensembl:processed_transcript